UGCGUAGGCGGCCCUGUAAGUAUGGUGUGAAAUCUCCCGGCUUAACUGGGAGGGUGCGCUAUAGACUGCGGGGCUCGAGUGUGGGAGAGGAAAGUGGAAUUCCUGGUGUAGCGGUGAAAUGCGUAGAUAUCAGGAGGAACACCGGUGGUGUAGACGGCUUUCUGGACCAUAACUGACGCUGAGGCACGAAAGCGUGGGUAGCAAACAGGAUUAGAUACCCUGGUAGUCCACGCCCUAAACGAUGCAUAUUUGGUGUGGGUCAUUCAGUUGAUCCGUGCCGGAGCUAACGCGUUAAAUAUGCCGCCUGGGGAGUACAGUCGCAAGGCUGAA
rnacentral:rRNA from 1 species